UACGGGGGGAGCAAGCGUUGUUCGGAUUUACUGGGCGUAAAGGGCGCGUAGGCGGUCAGCACAGGUCAGUUGUGAAAUCUCCGGGCUUAACUCGGAAAGGUCAACUGAUACUGUGCGACUAGAGUGCAGAAGGGGCAACUGGAAUUCUCGGUGUAGCGGUGAAAUGCGUAGAUAUCUGGAGGAACACCGGUGGCGAAGGCGGCAUUCUGGACUGCAACUGACACUGAGAGACGAAAGCCAGGGGAGCAAACGGG
rnacentral:rRNA from 1 species